rnacentral:lncRNA from 1 species
CAGCAAUAAUCCCUACCAAUAAAUUAUCCAUUAACCCUGGAGUUUGGAGGGAUGGAUGACUGAUUCAUCAUUUAUUUUAAUCCCCUGCAAAAGCAGUACUAUCAGCUCUGCUUCCUACACUUCACUGAGACCCAGACUUAGUGCCCUGGUCAUCAUCAGGGUCUCUGUCUGACUUUGGAAGGAUGGUGACAGAACUGAGUGAGAUGUUUUCUGAUAAUUUAGUCAAAAAGAUGAUUUUUCAAACCUUUCAUAUAGCUUUUGAAUGAUUCUCAAAUUAAUAAAUCAGAAUCCAGUGUCUCUACUACUCAAAGAUACUAAGGGAUUAUAAAGGAAAAAGUUUACUGUUGGAGUCCUUUUAUAAAAAUGUGAACCAUAUGUCUGUUAUCUACAUUAAGGGGUUACCAUGGCUUUGAGAAAGGAAAAGGAAAAUAAAGAUUAUGUCCAAGGUUGGCUGAAGGAGAUUAAGAAGAGUAGACUAAAAAUCCUCUCGUUGGUUUAGGAUCAUUGGGACAACCCAGGAGUUUAUCUGUAUGAUUAUAGUCUGUCCUUGUGGGAAGACACUGUAACUUGAUCACCUUUGUUCACAGAGGGCAAUGCCAAAAUGUUCCUGCCAGGUCUUGCUCUUUGCAUCAGGAGAAACACGGUAGCUUCGCGGCUUCUUCACCUCUGUCCUCUGUAGCCCCAACCCCACUUCUGAGCAGUUACUGUUUCACAGACACACUGCUCCAGAUGUCAGAAAUACAUGCCAGUAAGUCAAGUAUUUGGACUGCACCAUUGUAGGGAGCAUGGUUGUAGAAGUUUAUUGUAUAUAUUUGCAGACAACGUAGCCCUGAAAGGACAAAAUGCAAAACAGGAAAGGUCUGGCUUGGGGAAGAAGAGGAAGUGCCAACUCAGUACAGGUAGGCUUGGGCAGAGAGGGACAUGGGAGCCAGAGUGAAGUAGAAGAAGCUUUGAUGGAGAACUGAAGCACAGCUGGUCUAUUCAAACAUUUAUGUAGGA